UUUCGGAGAGUUUGAUCCUGGCUCAGGACGAACGCUGGCGGCGUGCCUAAUACAUGCAAGUCGAGCGGAUUGAUGGGAGCUUGCUCCCUGAAAUCAGCGGCGGACGGGUGAGUAACACGUGGGUAACCUGCCUGUAAGACUGGGAUAACUCCGGGAAACCGGGGCUAAUACCGGAUAGUUCUUUUCCUCGCAUGAGGAAAAGUKGAAAGGCGGCUUCGGCUGCCACUUACAGAUGGACCCGCGGCGCAUUAGCUAGUUGGUGAGGUAACGGCUCACCAAGGCAACGAUGCGUAGCCGACCUGAGAGGGUGAUCGGCCACACUGGGACUGAGACACGGCCCAGACUCCUACGGGAGGCAGCAGUAGGGAAUCUUCCGCAAUGGACGAAAGUCUGACGGAGCAACGCCGCGUGAGUGAUGAAGGUUUUCGGAUCGUAAAGCUCUGUUGUUAGGGAAGAACAAGUGCCGUUCGAAUAGGGCGGCAC
rnacentral:rRNA from 1 species